rnacentral:misc_RNA from 1 species
GAUCAGGUCUGUGGCCUUAUUCCUCCUGUAUUACUGAAAAUAUUUUUGACCAUUCAUACUCGGGAAUAAUACUCGAUUACUCGUUAAAUUUUUAAUUGGAUUCUCAAAUUUCUGUUGUAUAGUUGCAGGUUAACGUGGCUGUAUUUACUCAGUGUGUUCAUGCAAAUAUACAAAUAGAGUUAGAUAAACUUUUGUGCUUGUGUUUUCUUAAACUUGAUAACUCCAUGUUCAAGUUUUGCAUUGCUCAAUCAAAGAUGUUGCUUUCAAAAGCAUGUUUUGGUAUUUAAGAAACUUUACACUCCUAUGAGGUUGCUUGAAGUCUUUGUGCUUCAUUCGGUUUUUCCAAACUUAACUAGGCUGAAACCAUACUUUUAGGAGAUCAAAAUUAUUUAAUAAACAAAGGAGGUCAUCAUUCUACAUUGUAUCCCAUUAUGGGGUUUUGCCUGAGAAGGCCUAUUUGGAUUUUGCUCGGCCAAUAGACUUCGCUCUGA